rnacentral:rRNA from 1 species
AACGAACGCUGGCGGCAUGCCUAACACAUGCAAGUCGAACGAGACCUUCGGGUCUAGUGGCGCACGGGUGCGUAACGCGUUGGAACCUGCCCUUAGGUUCGGAAUAACUCCCCGAAAGGGGUGCUAAUACCAGAUAAUGUCUUCGGACCAAAGAUUUAUCGCCUUUGGAUGGGCCCGCGUUGGAUUAGCUAGUUGGUAGGGUAAAAGCCUACUAAGGCGACGAUCCAUAGCUGGUCUGAGAGGAUGAUCAGCCACACUGGGACUGAGACACGGCCCAGACUCCUACGGGAGGCAGCAGUGGGGAAUAUUGGAAAAUGGGCGAAAGCCUGAUCCAGCAAUGCCGCGUGAGUGAUGAAGGCCUUAGGGUUGUAAAGCUCUUUUACCCGGGAUGAUAAUGACAGUACCGGGAGAAUAAGCUCCGGCUAACUCCGUG